rnacentral:rRNA from 1 species
GAUGAACGCUAGCUACAGGCUUAACACAUGCAAGUCGAGGGGCAGCAUGAACAAAGCUUGCUUUGUUUGAUGGCGACCGGCGCACGGGUGCGUAACACGUAUCCAAUCUGCCCGCGGCUCGGGGAUAGCCCAUCGAAAGAUGGAUUAAUACCCGAUGGCGUGGUCACUCCGCAUGGAGUUUCCACUAAAGGUUUUCCGGCCGCGGAUGAGGAUGCGUAUGAUUAGGUAGUAGGCGGGGUAACGGCCCACCUAGCCUUCGAUCAUUAGGGGUUCUGAGAGGAAGGUCCCCCACACUGGAACUGAGACACGGUCCAGACUCCUACGGGAGGCAGCAGUGAGGAAUAUUGGUCAAUGGGCGAGAGCCUGAACCAGCCAAGUAGCGUGAAGG